AGCGAACGCCGGCGGCAGGCUUAACACAUGCAAGUCGAACGCCCCGCAAGGGGAGUGGCAGACGGGUGAGUAACACGUGGGAACGUACCCUUUGGCUCGGAAUAACUUGGGGAAACUCAAGCUAAUACCGGAUAAGCCCUUAUGGGGAAAGGUUUACUGCCGAAGGAUCGGCCCGCGUCUGAUUAACUAGUUGGUGAGGUAAUGGCUCACCAAGGCGACGAUCAGUAGCUGGUCUGAGAGGAUGAUCAGCCACACUGGGACUGAGACACGGCCCAGACUCCUACGGGAGGCAGCAGUGGGGAAUAUUGGACAAUGGGGGCAACCCUGAUCCAGCCAUGCCGCGUGAGUGAUGAAGGCCUUAGGGUUGUAGAGCUCUUUUACCCGGGACGAUAAUGACUGUACCGGGAGAAUAAGCCCCGGCUAACUUCGUGCCAGCAGCCGCCGUAA
rnacentral:rRNA from 1 species